rnacentral:rRNA from 1 species
AUUCCCCCAGUAGCGGCGAGCGAACGGGGAGCAGCCCAGAGCCUGAAUCAGUAUGUGUGUUAGUGGAAGCGUCUGGAAAGGCGCGCGAUACAGGGUGACAGCCCCGUACACAAAAAUGCACAUGCUGUGAGCUCGAUGAGUAGGGCGGGACACGUGGUAUCCUGUCUGAAUAUGGGGGGACCAUCCUCCAAGGCUAAAUACUCCUGACUGACCGAUAGUGAACCAGUACCGUGAGGGAAAGGCGAAAAGAACCCCGGCGAGGGGAGUGAAAAAGAACCUGAAACCGUGUACGUACAAGCAGUGGGAGCACGCUUAGGCGUGUGACUGCGUACCUUUUGUAUAAUGGGUCAGCGACUUAUAUUCUGUAGCAAGGUUAACCGAAUAGGGGAGCCGAAGGGAAACCGAGUCUUAACUGGGCGUUAAGUUGCAGGGUAUAGACCCGAAACCCGGUGAUCUAGCCAUGGGCAGGUUGAAGGUUGGGUAACACUAACUGGAGGACCGAACCGACUAAUGUUGAAAAAUUAGCGGAUGACUUGUGGCUGGGGGUGAAAGGCCAAUCAAACCGGGAGAUAGCUGGUUCUCCCCGAAAGCUAUUUAGGUAGCGCCUCGUGAAUUCAUCUCCGGGGGUAGAGCACUGUUUCGGCAAGGGGGUCAUCCCGACUUACCAACCCGAUGCAAACUGCGAAUACCGGAGAAUGUUAUCACGGGAGACACACGGCGGGUGCUAACGUCCGUCGUGAAGAGGGAAACAACCCAGACCGCCAGCUAAGGUCCCAAAGUCAUGGUUAAGUGGGAAACGAUGUGGGAAGGCCCAGACAGCCAGGAUGUUGGCUUAGAAGCAGCCAUCAUUUAAAGAAAGCGUAAUAGCUCACUGGUCGAGUCGGCCUGCGCGGAAGAUGUAACGGGGCUAAACCAUGCACCGAAGCUGCGGCAGCGACGCUGAUGCGUUGUUGGGUAGGGGAGCGUUCUGUAAGCCUGCGAAGGUGUGCUGUGAGGCAUGCUGGAGGUAUCAGAAGUGCGAAUGCUGACAUAAGUAACGAUAAAGCGGGUGAAAAGCCCGCUCGCCGGAAGACCAAGGGUUCCUGUCCAACGUUAAUCGGGGCAGGGUGAGUCGACCCCUAAGGCGAGGCCGAAAGGCGUAGUCGAUGGGAAACAGGUUAAUAUUCCUGUACUUGGUGUUACUGCGAAGGGGGGACGGAGAAGGCUAUGUUGGCCGGGCGACGGUUGUCCCGGUUUAAGCGUGUAGGCUGGUUUUCCAGGCAAAUCCGGAAAAUCAAGGCUGAGGCGUGAUGACGAGGCACUGCGGUGCUGAAGCAACAAAUGCCCUGCUUCCAGGAAAAGCCUCUAAGCAUCAGGUAACAUCAAAUCGUACCCCAAACCGACACAGGUGGUCAGGUAGAGAAUACCAAGGCGCUUGAGAGAACUCGGGUGAAGGAACUAGGCAAAAUGGUGCCGUAACUUC